rnacentral:rRNA from 1 species
UGGGGAAUUUUGCGCAAUGGGCGAAAGCCUGACGCAGCAACGCCGCGUGCGGGAUGAAGGCCUUCGGGUUGUAAACCGCUUUCAGUAGGGAAGAUUAUGACGGUACCUACAGAAGAAGCUCCGGCUAACUACGUGCCAGCAGCCGCGGUAAUACGUAGGGAGCAAGCGUUAUCCGGAUUCAUUGGGCGUAAAGCGCGCGUAGGCGGCUUAUUAAGUCAGGUGUCAAAUCUGAGGGCUCAACCCCCAGCCGCACCUGAAACUGGUAGGCUCGAGUUCGGUAGAGGAAAGUGGAAUUCCCAGUGUAGCGGUGGAAUGCGCAGAUAUUGGGAAGAACACCGGUGGCGAAGGCGGCUUUCUGGGCCGUAACUGACGCUGAGGCGCGAAAGCUAGGGGAGCAAACA